rnacentral:lncRNA from 11 species
CUUCCUCAUACUUUACCUUGUUGGAUUUUUCUUUUAGGCAGCAUCAGCAUUGAGAGAAUUGUGAAGGAGGCUGAAGAAAAACAUUACGUUUGGUGUCAGAAUGACUGUCUUGGAAAAAACAAUGCAAUGAAGUUUGAAUGGGAAAAAAUAUUAUUCUUCUCUGUCUGUUCCUACUGUAUCUGUGAUUACCAGCUUGCUUUAUACUGCAGUUGUAAGCAGAAAUUAGAACUUGAAAAAGAGAAAACCAGACAGUCUGUGUAUGAUGACCGUGACCCCGGCUUUCAAAUUGAUUUGAACCCGCAGCGGAGAGUUCCGCAGAUUCAUCACCAAAAGGAACGGAGCGGGACCGCAGCAGACUAUUAUUAAAAGAUCUUUUUUUCUUCACUUUCCCCUUCCCUGAACUAUGUAACAAAUCCCCCCAAUAAAAGUAGCAUUCAUUUUUAACAGUAACACUCUCUAUCUGGUUAUUUUGUGUCUCUCUCUGACUCCUUCUUUUGCACGCAAACCCCCCCCCCUUCUCUCUCUCUAACCCGUCCGAUCUUUAAACCCUGGCGGAGGCUUCGCCCGCCAUAGGUUAAUACGGCGGGCGAUACAAAUUGGCUCAUAUCUUUAUCAAAAUUACCCCUAGCAC